GACACGGUCCAAACUCCUACGGGAGGCAGCAGUGAGGAAUAUUGGUCAAUGGGCGGAAGCCUGAACCAGCCAAGUCGCGUGAGGGAAUAAGGCCCUAAGGGUCGUAAACCUCUUUUGCCGGGGAGCAAUGGUCCUCUUGCGAGGGGACAGGGAGAGUACCCGGAGAAAAAGCAUCGGCUAACUCCGUGCCAGCAGCCGCGGUAAUACGGAGGAUGCGAGCGUUAUCCGGAUUUAUUGGGUUUAAAGGGUGCGUAGGCGGACCAUCAAGUCAGCGGUCAAAAGUCGGGGCUCAACCCCGUAAAGCCGUUGAAACUGGCGGUCUGGAGUGAGCGAGAAGCAGGCGGAAUGCGUGGUGUAGCGGUGAAAUGCAUAGAUAUCACGCAGAACCCCGAUUGCGAAGGCAGCCUGCCGGCGCUCAACUGACGCUGAGGCACGAAAGUGCGGGGAUCGAACAGGAUUAGAUACCCUGGUAGUCCGCACAGUAAACGAUGAAUGCUAGCUGUCCGGUCCGAAUGAGGAUUGGGUGGCACAGCGAAAGCGUUAAGCAUUCCACCUGGGGAGUACGCCGGCAACGGUGAAACUCAAAGGAAUUGACGGGGGCCCGCACAAGCGGAGGAACAUGUGGUUUAAUUCGAUGAUACGCGAGGAACCUUACCCGGGCUCAAACGCCGCAGGAAUCACUUUUGAAAGGAAGUGAGCCAGCAAUGGUCUGCGGCGAGGUGCUGCAUGGUUGUCGUCAGCUCGUGCCGUGAGGUGUCGGCUUAAGUGCCAUAACGAGCGCAACCCCUACCGACAGUUGCUAACUGGUCAAGCAGAGGACUCUGUCGGGACUGCCGGCGCAAGCUGUGAGGAAGGCGGGGAUGACGUCAAAUCAGCACGGCCCUUACGUCCGGGGCGACACACGUGUUACAAUGGCAGGUACAGAGGGAAGCCACCUGGCGACAGGGAGCGGAACCCGAAAACCUGUCUCAGUUCGGAUCGGAGUCUGCAACCCGACUCCGUGAAGCUGGAUUCGCUAGUAAUCGCGCAUCAGCCAUGGCGCGGUGAAUACGUUCCCGGGCCUUGUACACACCGCCCGUCAAGCCAUGGGAGCCGGGGGUGCCUGAAGGCCGUGACCGCAAGGAGCGGCCUAGGGUAAAACCGGUGACUGGGGCUAAGUCGUAACAAGGUAGCCGUACCGGAAGGUGCGGCUG
rnacentral:rRNA from 1 species